AGAUUGAACGCUGGCGGCAGGCUUAACACAUGCAAGUCGAGCGGUAACAGAGAUAGCUUGCUAUCUGCUGACGAGCGGCGGACGGGUGAGUAAUGCUUGGGAAUAUGCCUUAUGGUGGGGGACAACAGUUGGAAACGACUGCUAAUACCGCAUAACGUCUACGGACCAAAGGAGGGGAUCUUCGGACCUUUCGCCAUUUGAUUAGCCCAAGUGAGAUUAGCUAGUAGGUGAGGUAAGAGCUCACCUAGGCGACGAUCUCUAGCUGGUUUGAGAGGAUGAUCAGCCACACUGGGACUGAGACACGGCCCAGACUCCUACGGGAGGCAGCAGUGGGGAAUAUUGCACAAUGGGCGAAAGCCUGAUGCAGCCAUGCCGCGUGUGUGAAGAAGGCCUUCGGGUUGUAAAGCACUUUCAGUUGUGAGGAAAGGGAUGUAGUUAAUAACUGCAUUCUGUGACGUUAACAACAGAAGAAGCACCGGCUAACUUCGUGCCAGCAGCCGCGGUAAUACGAGGGGUGCAAGCGUUAAUCGGAAUUACUGGGCGUAAAGCGUUCGUAGGCGGUUAUUUAAGCAAGAUGUGAAAGCCCAGGGCUCAACCUUGGAACUGCAUUUUGAACUGGGUAACUAGAGUACUGUAGAGGGUGGUGGAAUUUCCAGUGUAGCGGUGAAAUGCGUAGAGAUUGGAAGGAACAUCAGUGGCUAAGGCGGCCACCUGGACAGAUACUGACGCUGAGGAACGAAAGCGUGGGGAGCGAACAGGAUUAGAUACCCUGGUAGUCCACGCCGUAAACGAUGUCAACUAGCCGUUCGUGGACUUGAUCCGUGAGUGGCGCAGCUAACGCACUAAGUUGACCGCCUGGGGAGUACGGCCGCAAGGUUA
rnacentral:rRNA from 1 species